GGCACGAGUCAAUUCUGAAUGCAUUCUGUCGCUAACUAUAUAAAGAGGGCUGCACUGGGGAUUUCUUCAUUCAGAUUUCUAAUUCCAUCUCUUCUUUCUUAAACUCUCUCCCUAUUAUCCAAUUAGUCUCUUUCUUUUCUUAUUAAGAUAAAUCAAAAAAUAGUAAAGAUAAGUUCAAUUUUAGGACAACGGUCCAGGAAGAGAUUUAAGGAAGACAAAGAGACAAGAAAGACAG
rnacentral:lncRNA from 1 species